rnacentral:rRNA from 1 species
UACGUAGGGUGCGAGCGUUAAUCGGAAUUACUGGGCGUAAAGUGUGCGCAGGCGGCCGAGCAAGUCGAGUGUGAAAGCCCCGGGCUUAACCUGGGAACUGCGCUCGAAACUACUUGGCUUGAGUGUGGCAGAGGGAGGUGGAAUUCCACGUGUAGCGGUGAAAUGCGUAGAAAUGUGGAGGAACACCGAUGGCGAAGGCAGCCUCCUGGGCCAACACUGACGCUCAUGCACGAAAGCGUGGGGAGCAAACAGG